rnacentral:tRNA from 1 species
GGUUAGUUAGUUUAAUUAAAAUACAGGUUUUGUAAGCCUGAGAUGAUAUUUUUAUUGCUAACCU